rnacentral:rRNA from 1 species
GUGGGGAAUCUUGCGCAAUGGGCGAAAGCCUGACGCAGCCAUGCCGCGUGGAUGAUGAAGGUCUUAGGAUUGUAAAAUCCUUUCACCGGUGAAGAUAAUGACUGUAGCCGGAGAAGAAGCCCCGGCUAACUUCGUGCCAGCAGCCGCGGUAAUACGAAGGGGGCUAGCGUUGCUCGGAUUUACUGGGCGUAAAGGGCGCGUAGGCGGACAUUUAAGUCAGGGGUGAAAUCCCGGGGCUCAACCUUGGAAUUGCCUUUGAUACUGGCUGUCUUGAGUUUGGGAGAGGUGAGUGGAACUCCGAGUGUAGAGGUGAAAUUCGUAGAUAUUCGGAAGAACACCAGUGGCGAAGGCGACUCACUGGCCCAAUACUGACGCUGAGGCGCGAAAGCGUGGGGAGCAAACAGGAUUAGAAACCCCGGUAGUCC